GGGGAGGAGGAAACAGAGACUGAGGGUACUGGAGUGGGGGGAGACACCCCGGAGUCCCUGGAGGCAUGCAGCCAGGAGCUCUUCUCAAGCCAGGAGGAAGAUAGCCAGUCGCAGCAGCCGGUACUUCGUGAAGGACAAGCAGAGGAGCGGGUUCCCGAAACCUUGAGAUGUCGGCUGCCUGUGUUAUCAACAGCUCAAAGACUCCAAAACCCCCGGAAAAAGCCGCGA